rnacentral:tRNA from 1 species
GAGGGUAUAAGCUCAGGGGUAGAGUGUGUGCCUAGCACGCACAAGGUCCUGGGCUCAAUCCCCAGUACUUGCA